GACGAACGCUGGCGGCGUGCUUAACACAUGCAAGUCGAACGGAAAGGCCCUGCUUUUGUGGGGUGCUCGAGUGGCGAACGGGUGAGUAACACGUGAGUAACCUGCCCUUGACUUUGGGAUAACUUCAGGAGACUGGGGCUAAUACCGGAUAGGAGCUCCUGCUGCAUGGUGGGGGUUGGAAAGUUUCGGCGGUUGGGGAUGGACUCGCGGCUUAUCAGCUUGUUGGUGGGGUAGUGGCUUACCAAGGCUUUGACGGGUAGCCGGCCUGAGAGGGUGACCGGCCACAUUGGGACUGAGAUACGGCCCGGACUCCUACGGGAGGCAGCAGUGGGGAAUAUUGCACAAUGGGCGGAAGCCUGAUGCAGCAACGCCGCGUGCGGGAUGACGGCCUUCGGGUUGUAAACCGCUUUCGCCUGUGACGAAGCGUGAGUGACGGUAAUGGGUAAAGAAGCACCGGCUAACUACGUG
rnacentral:rRNA from 1 species